GAUGAACGCUGGCGACGUGCUUAACACAUGCAAGUCGAACGAGAAAUGGAGACGGAAACCUUCGGGCGGAAGGCUUCAUUUCGAGUGGCGGACGGGUGAGUAACGCGUGGGUAACCUGCCUCAUACAGGGGGAUAACAGUUGGAAACGACUGUUAAUACCGCAUAAGACCACAGCACCGCAUGGUGCGGGGGUAAAAACUCCGGUGGUAUGAGAUGGACCCGCGUUCGAUUAGCCAGUUGGCGGGGUAACGGCCCACCAAAGCGACGAUCGAUAGCCGAUCUGAGAGGAUGACCGGCCACAUUGGGACUGAGACACGGCCCAAACUCCUACGGGAGGCAGCAGUGGGGAAUAUUGCACAAUGGGGGAAACCCUGAUGCAGCGACGCCGCGUGAGUGAAGAAGUACUUCGGUAUGUAAAGCUCUAUCAGCAGGGAAGAAAAUGACGGUACCUGAGUAAGAAGCCCCGGCUAACUACGUG
rnacentral:rRNA from 1 species